rnacentral:rRNA from 1 species
GGGUUGUGAGGUUAAGCGACUAAGCGUACACGGUGGAUGCCCUGGCAGUCAGAGGCGAUGAAGGACGUGCUAAUCUGCGAAAAGCGUCGGUAAGGUGAUAUGAACCGUUACAGCCGGCGAUGUCCGAAUGGGGAAACCCAGUGCAAUUCGUUGCACUAUCGUUAACUGAAUACAUAGGUUAACGAGGCGAACCGGGGGAACUGAAACAUCUAAGUACCCCGAGGAAAAGAAAUCAACCGAGAUUCCCCCAGUAGCGGCGAGCGAACGGGGAGCAGCCCAGAGUCUGAAUCAGCUUGUGUGUUAGUGGAACGGUCUGGAAAGUCCGACGGUACAGGGUGAUAGUCCCGUACACCAAAAUGCACAGGUUGUGAACUCGAAGAGUAGGGCGGGACACGUGGUAUCCUGUCUGAAUAUGGGGGGACCAUCCUCCAAGGCUAAAUACUCCUGACUGACCGAUAGUGAACCAGUACCGUGAGGGAAAGGCGAAAAGAACCCCGGCGAGGGGAGUGAAAAAGAACCUGAAACCGUGUACGUACAAGCAGUGGGAGCACCUUCGGGUGUGACUGCGUACCUUUUGUAUAAUGGGUCAGCGACUUAUAUUCUGUAGCAAGGUUAACCGUAUAGGGGAGCCGCAGGGAAACCGAGUCUUAACUGGGCGUUAAGUUGCAGGGUAUAGACCCGAAACCCGGUGAUCUAGCCAUGGGCAGGUUGAAGGUUGGGUAACACUAACUGGAGGACCGAACCGACUAAUGUUGAAAAAUUAGCGGAUGACUUGUGGCUGGGGGUGAAAGGCCAAUCAAACCGGGAGAUAGCUGGUUCUCCCCGAAAGCUAUUUAGGUAGCGCCUCGUGAACUCAUCUUCGGGGUAGAGCACUGUUUCGGCUAGGGGGUCAUCCCGACUUACCAACCCGAUGCAAACUACGAAUACCGAAGAAUGUUAUCACGGGAGACACACGGCGGGUGCUAACGUCCGUCGUGAAGAGGGAAACAACCCAGACCGCCAGCUAAGGUCCCAAAGUCAUGGUUAAGUGGGAAACGAUGUGGGAAGGCACAGACAGCCAGGAUGUUGGCUUAGAAGCAGCCAUCAUUUAAAGAAAGCGUAAUAGCUCACUGGUCGAGUCGGCCUGCGCGGAAGAUGUAACGGGGCUAAACCAUGCACCGAAGCUGCGGCAGCGACACUAUGUGUUGUUGGGUAGGGGAGCGUUCUGUAAGCCUGCGAAGGUGUGCUGUGAGGCAUGCUGGAGGUAUCAGAAGUGCGAAUGCUGACAUAAGUAACGAUAAAGCGGGUGAAAAGCCCGCUCGCCGGAAGACCAAGGGUUCCUGUCCAACGUUAAUCGGGGCAGGGUGAGUCGACCCCUAAGGCGAGGCCGAAAGGCGUAGUCGAUGGGAAACAGGUUAAUAUUCCUGUACUUGGUGUUACUGCGAAGGGGGACGGAGAAGGCUAUGUUAGCCGGGCGACGGUUGUCCCGGUUUAAGCAUGUAGGCUGGUUAUCCAGGCAAAUCCGGAUAAUCAAGGCUGAGGUGUGAUGACGAGGCACUACGGUGCUGAAGUAACAAAUGCCCUGCUUCCAGGAAAAGCCUCUAAGCAUCAGGUAACAUCAAAUCGUACCCCAAACCGACACAGGUGGUCAGGUAGAGAAUACCAAGGCGCUUGAGAGAACUCGGGUGAAGGAACUAGGCAAAAUGGUGCCGUAACUUCGGGAGAAGGCACGCUGGUGUGUAGGUGAAGUCCCUGCGGAUGGAGCUGAGACCAGUCGAAGAUACCAGCUGGCUGCAACUGUUUAUUAAAAACACAGCACUGUGCAAACACGAAAGUGGACGUAUACGGUGUGACGCCUGCCCGGUGCCGGAAGGUUAAUUGAUGGGGUUAUCCGUAAGGAGAAGCUCUUGAUCGAAGCCCCGGUAAACGGCGGCCGUAACUAUAACGGUCCUAAGGUAGCGAAAUUCCUUGUCGGGUAAGUUCCGACCUGCACGAAUGGCGUAAUGAUGGCCAGGCUGUCUCCACCCGAGACUCAGUGAAAUUGAACUCGCUGUGAAGAUGCAGUGUACCCGCGGCAAGACGGAAAGACCCCGUGAACCUUUACUAUAGCUUGACACUGAACAUUGAGCCUUGAUGUGUAGGAUAGGUGGGAGGCUUUGAAGCGUGGACGCCAGUCUGCGUGGAGCCAACCUUGAAAUACCACCCUUUAAUGUUUGAUGUUCUAACGUUGGCCCCUGACCGGGGUUGCGGACAGUGUCUGGUGGGUAGUUUGACUGGGGCGGUCUCCUCCCAAAGCGUAACGGAGGAGCACGAAGGUUAGCUAAUCCUGGUCGGACAUCAGGAGGUUAGUGCAAUGGCAUAAGCUAGCUUGACUGCGAGCGUGACGGCGCGAGCAGGUGCGAAAGCAGGUCAUAGUGAUCCGGUGGUUCUGAAUGGAAGGGCCAUCGCUCAACGGAUAAAAGGUACUCCGGGGAUAACAGGCUGAUACCGCCCAAGAGUUCAUAUCGACGGCGGUGUUUGGCACCUCGAUGUCGGCUCAUCACAUCCUGGGGCUGAAGUAGGUCCCAAGGGUAUGGCUGUUCGCCAUUUAAAGUGGUACGCGAGCUGGGUUUAGAACGUCGUGAGACAGUUCGGUCCCUAUCUGCCGUGGGCGCUGGAGAAUUGAGGGGGGCUGCUCCUAGUACGAGAGGACCGGAGUGGACGCAUCACUGGUGUUCGGGUUGUCAUGCCAAUGGCACUGCCCGGUAGCUAAAUGCGGAAGAGAUAAGUGCUGAAAGCAUCUAAGCACGAAACUUGCCCCGAGAUGAGUUCUCCCUGAGACUAUAAGUCUCCUGAAGGAACGUUAAAGACGAUGACGUUGAUAGGCCGGGUGUGUAAGCGCAGCGAUGCGUUGAGCUAACCGGUACUAAUGAACCGUGAGGCUUAACCUUACAACGCCGAAG